rnacentral:rRNA from 1 species
CAGCCGCCGCGGGAAUACGAAGGGUGCAAGCGUUAAUCGGAAUUACUGGGCGUAAAGCGUGCGUAGGCGGUGAGAUAAGUCUGCUGUGAAAUCCCCGGGCUCAACCUGGGAAUGGCAGUGGAUACUGGCUCGCUAGAGUGUGUCAGAGGAUGGUGGAAUUCCCGGUGUAGCGGUGAAAUGCGUAGAGAUCGGGAGGAAUACCGGUGGCGAAGGCGGCCCCCUGGACAAAGACUGACGCUCAGGUGCGAAAGCGUGGGGAGCAAACAGGAUUAGAUACCCCUGUAGUCCCUGUCUCUUAUAC